rnacentral:lncRNA from 1 species
UUGGUGGUGUUAUGUUGCGCAUGCGUUACCCCUAUCUUUUCAUGGCAGCCGUGCGAUAUCAAGAUCUCUCAAGAAAGGCACGGCUGCCUUAGCUGUAGUCAGUCAUUUUGGAUAUUUAAAGACAUGUAUAUAUAUAUAUAUAUAUAAAUAGUCAUACUCUUCACAUUAGAAAAAUAGCCUCUUUCCUGAUUUGCAAACAUGUUUUCGUUUUUCUCUCCUUCCCUUCCACGUAAACAAUCCAGUUUGAUACUUGAUUGUGUAAAAUGCUUAACAUCACUGACGGCUGCUAUAUCUCCACUUCUCUGUCCUUCUCGUUCUCUCUCAGCUGUAUUUAUCUCGGCAUUCAACCUUUCUCACUCUUCCCAACCAGUAUUCUUUAAAUUCCACAUUAAUAUGUAUCUUAUGUCUACCAGUAACUCCGUAUUUUUUCUUUCCCAUCUAUAAACUCUACAAUUCGGACCUAUCAAAAUUAAACCUGGCUUAUCUCCAAUUUCCAAUACUCGAACUCAAACAACAUUUCAAAUUUUAUUUAUUCAAAACUACUGUUGCUAGAUAUUUCUUUUAAACAAGAAUGACUGGUCGACCUAUUGCAUGUCAGGACUAUUCUUCUCCACUACAAAGUAUCCUACGGCUUGUGGCAGGACUGCAAACUGUUCAAACGUUUCGAUAGCUUACUACUUUAGAAAGGCUACCUUUCUCUCAGGACUAUAAGUCAAAAAAUUGAAUGUAUCUACAGUCCAGGUAAGUUUGGAUGGCAUAUUUACUUUGUGUGUGUGUGUGUACAUACACUCAUACACAAGUGAGUGAACAAACGAAAGAAAAGGGUACUCAAUAUAUUUAGUAGGAGAUACAUGUAUUAUUUAAUAGCAGUUUGAUAUGGUUUGUAUACAUAUGUUAUGAUUCUACAAGUGGAUCCCCCUUAUUUCUGAAAUGUUGAUGAUGCAGUAUUGUGCUUCCGGGAUUCUAGAGGAAUUCAGGUAGAAUGGUUCCCACUGUUGAUGAUCUAAAUGAAGUAGCAGCAAAGAAGAUUUUCAGCAACAUAGAUACGACAGCUGCAUAUCAGCAGGUGGAACCCAAAGACUAUAAACUGACAGUGUUCGAAGCAGUGGGGAGAUUGUCCUGGUUUAAACGCCUCCCAUUUGGUUGUACCAACUCUGCAGCAUUUUUCCAGCGUGUUGUUGAUGAAUUCAUAAAAAGAAACAAUCUUGAAAAAAACUUUGCCUAUCUAGAUGACAUCAUCAGAGCCAGCAAAGAUCAUCAUGAACAUGACGAUAACCUCAGGAGAUUUAUCCAGGCAACCAAAACAUCUGGCAUGACCAAUAAAAGCAAGAGUCAAUUCUCUGAGAAGCAGAUCCACUUCCUUGGACAUAUUGGAAAUUCAACAAUAAAACUUGACCCUAAGAAGUAUCAAGCUCUACUAUUUUUGCCAGAACCAAGAACAUUGAGAGAACUAAAUCAAAUAAUAGGCAUUUUUGCAUAUUAUGCAAAGUGGAUACCUAAGUGCUCCAGACUCACCAUUCCACUUAAGAGCCAGAGGCCAGAAAGAAUAUCAACAAAGCAGGACUUCCAGAAGAAGCAAAAACAGCAAUUGCAUCUCUUAAGACUGCAUUGGUAAAUGUCAUACUUGCAGUUCCACAACCUUGAAUACCACUUACCAUUGAAACAGAUGCUUCUGACCUAGCCUUGGGCGGGAUGCUAUCACAACAAGGAAGGCCAGUGGCCUUCUAUUCAAAGUCCCUUUCAAAAACAGAAAACAUCAAUCCAUCGUCGAGAGAGAAGCCUGCACAAUCAUAGAAUAGCAACUGGCGAAGAGUACCUGAACGAGAAUAAUCAUCAUCAUCAUCAUUGUGUAAAAUUGAGCAUAAGAGGCAUCAGAUAUGACGUGCAAGAGAGAAAGAAGUCUGUGCUAGUCUGGUCAUGUGAUGCAGAUGGAUGAGGAAAGCUGUAUAAAGAAGUACCAAUUGCUUACUGUGCAUAAAGCCCAUGGCAGAGGGAAACCUAGGAGGAUGUGGGAUGAAGUAGUGAAGAUUGACUUCAAAAUGUUAAGCCUCAUGAAGGAGGAGACAAAGAACCAAGUUGAAUGGUAAUAUGCUGUGACCCAUCCAUCUCAACAAAAAUGAGGUACUGUUACCCAUCCCCACUGCAGUUGCAUCAGUAAUAAUUCUUCUUGGCAUGAAUCCAAAUUGCAUUUCAUCUAAUUUGACUUUCUUCAUAAUUAAUUGAGCUAUGAUCCUCUCAGUGACUUUCAUGAUCUGAUCCUGCUGUUUGAUACCUCUAACUACUCCUCUCUAAAGUAGAGAGAAGUUAACCUUAUAACAGUUGACUAUGAUGCUGCUACACUUGUCAUAUGAACAACAGAGAGGAAAUUCCAGAAGGCUGAUAUUUUGGGAAGGAAGGUUUAGGCAUAGUGGUUUUAUAUAUGCAUUUCUAUGUGUAUGUACAUGUAUUUCUAUGUGCCUAUGUUUGUAUUUGUGUGAGAGUUUAUGAGUUUCUGUGUUUGAUUUCAUUGUGCAGCACCUUGACAAAUGUCUUCUACCACAGCCAGUGAGAGAAGUUGGGUAAAUGGAAAUUUUGAGAAAGUUUAGCAGAUAAUGUGUGUGUGUGUUUGUGUAUCAUCACUUCAACGUCCUCUUGUUCAUGCUUGAUGAACAACACACACUCACAUAUUGUUCAACCUGUGCAGUAAGGGACAUAGCUGUUAAA